rnacentral:rRNA from 1 species
CCUACGGGCGGCAGCAGUGAGGAAUAUUGGUCAAUGGGCGCGAGCCUGAACCAGCCAAGUAGCGUGAAGGAUGACUGCCCUACGGGUUGUAAACUUCUUUUAUAAAGGAAUAAAGUGAGGCACGUGAGCCUUUUUGUAUGUACUUUAUGAAUAAGGAACGGCUAACUCCGUGCCAGCAGCCGCGGUAAUACGGAGGAUCCGAGCGUUAUCCGGAUUUAGUGGGUUUAAAGGGAGCGUAGAUGGGUUGUUAAGUCAGUUGUGAAAGUUUGUGGCUUAACCGUAAAAUUGCAAUUGAUACUGGCAGUCUAGAGUACAGGUGAGGUAGGCGGAAUUCGUGGUGUAGCGGUGAAAUGCGUAGAGAUCAAGAAGAAUUCCGAUUGCGAAGGCAGCUUACUAAACUGCCACUGACAUUGAUGCUCGAAAGUGUGGGUAUCAAACAGGAUUAGAUACCCGUGUAGUC